rnacentral:rRNA from 1 species
CAACUUUCAACAACGGAUCUCUUGGUUCUGGCAUCGAUGAAGAACGCAGCGAAAUGCGAUAAGUAGUGUGAAUUGCAGAAUUCAGUGAAUCAUCGAAUCUUUGAACGCACAUUUGCGCCCCUUGGUAUUCCAUGGGGCAUGCCUGUUCGAGCGUCAUUU